GUUAAAACGCUCGUAGUCGGAUUUCGGGGCCUGCCGGGCGGUCUGCCGUUGGGUAUGCACUGUCUGGCGCGUCCUUUCUUCCGGAGGCUGGCGCUACUCUUAACUGAGCGGUGUCGGAAGUCGGAACGUUUACUUUGAAAAAAUCAGAGUGUUUCAAGCAGGCAGCUCGCUCUUGCAUGGAUUAGCAUGGGAUAAUGAAAUAGGACUUUGGUGCUAUUUUGUUGGUUUCGAACACCGAAGUAAUGAUUAACAGGGACAGUCAGGGGCACUCGUAUUCCGCCGAGAGAGGUGAAAUCCUCAGACCAGCGGAAGACGAACUACUGCGAAAGCAUUUGCCAGGGAUGUUUUCACUGAUCAAGAACGAAAGUUAGGGGAUCGAAGACGAUCAGAUACCGUCGUAGUCUUAACCAUAAACCAUGCCGACUAGGGAUCGGCGGAAGUCCUUUUUGACUCCGUCGGCACCUUAUGGGAAACUAUAGUUUUUGGGUUCCGGGGGGAGUAUGGUCGCAAGGCUGAAACUUAAAGGAAUUGACGGAAGGGCACCACCAGGAGUGGAGCCUGCGGCUUAAUUUGACUCAACACGGGGAAACUUACCAGGUCCAGACAUUGUGAGGAUUGACAGAUUGAGAGCUCUUUCUUGAUUCGAUGGGUGGUGGUGCAUGGCCGUUCUUAGUUGGUGGAGUGAUUUGUCUGGUUAAUUCCG
rnacentral:rRNA from 1 species